rnacentral:rRNA from 1 species
GUGCCAGCCGCCGCGGUAAUACCGGCAGCCCGAGUGAUGGCCGAUAUUAUUGGGCCUAAAGCGUCCGUAGCCGGCCGGACAAGUCCGUUGGGAAAUCGACGCGCCUAACGCGUCGGCGUCCAGCGGAAACUGUCCGGCUUGGGGCCGGAAGACUCGAGGGGUACGUCCGGGGUAGGAGUGAAAUCCCGUAAUCCUGGACGGACCGCCGGUGGCGAAAGCGCCUCGAGAGGACGGACCCGACGGUCAGGGACGAAAGCUAGGGUCUCGAACCGGAUUAGAUACCCUUGUAGUCC